rnacentral:rRNA from 1 species
UACGAAGGGGGCUAGCGUUGUUCGGAAUUACUGGGCGUAAAGGGCUCGUAGGCGGCCCUCUCAGUCGGAUGUGAAAUCCCCAGGCUCAACUUGGGAACGGCAUCCGAUACUGGAGGGCUUGAAUUCGGGAGAGGGAUGCAGAAUUCCAGGUGUAGCGGUGAAAUGCGUAGAUAUCUGGAGGAAUACCGGUGGCGAAGGCGGCAUCCUGGACCGAGAUUGACGCUGAGGAGCGAAAGCUAGGGGAGCAAACGGG